rnacentral:rRNA from 1 species
GCUGAUCUCCCCCAAGAGUCCACAUCGACGGGGAGGUUUGGCACCUCGAUGUCGGCUCAUCGCAUCCUGGGGCUGUAGUCGGUCCCAAGGGUUGGGCUGUUCGCCCAUUAAAGCGGUACGCGAGCUGGGUUCAGAACGUCGUGAGACAGUUCGGUCCCUAUCCGUCGCGGGCGCAGGAAAUUUGAGAGGAGCUGUCCUUAGUACGAGAGGACCGGGAUGGACGUUCCGCUGGUGUACCAGUUGUGCCGCCAGGCGCAUCGCUGGGUAGCUAUGAACGGAAGGGAUAAACGCUGAAAGCAUCUAAGUGUGAAGCCCCCCUCGAGAUGAGAUUUCCCAUUCCUAUAUGGAAGUAAGACCCCUGAAAGAUGAUCAGGUAGAUAGGCUGGAAGUGGAAGUGCAGCGAUGCAUGGAGCGGACCAGUACUAAUCGGUCGAGGACUUAACCAAG